GACGAACGCUGGCGGCGUGCUUAACACAUGCAAGUCGAACGGACAGGCCCUGCUUUUGUGGGGUGCUCGAGUGGCGAACGGGUGAGUAACACGUGAGUAACCUGCCCUUGACUUUGGGAUAACUUCAUGAAACUGGGGCUCAUACCGGAUAGGAGCUCCUGCUGCAUGGUGGGGGUUGGAAAGUUUCGGCGGUUGGGGAUGGACUCGCGGCUUAUCAGCUUGUUGGUGGGGUAGUGGCUUACCAAGGCUUUGACGGGUAGCCGGCCUGGGAGGGUUACCGGCCACAUUGCGACUGAGAUACGGCACAGACUCGUACGGGAGGCAGCAGUGGGGAGGAUUGCACAAUGGGCGGAAGCCAGAUGCAGCAACGCCGCGUGCGGGAUGACGGCCUUCGGGUUGUAAACCGCUGUCGCCUGUGACGAAGCGUGAGUGACGGUAAUGGGUAAAGAAGCACCGGCUAACUACGUG
rnacentral:rRNA from 1 species